AGAGUUUGAUCCUGGCUCAGGAUGAACGCUGGCGGCGUGCUUAACACAUGCAAGUCGAACGAACCUUCGGGUUAGUGGCGGACGGGUGAGUAACGCGUGAGAAUCUGCCCUCAGGAGGGGGACAACAGUUGGAAACGACUGCUAAUACCCCAUAUGCCGCGAGGUGAAAUGAAUUUCGCCUGAGGAUGAGCUCGCGUCUGAUUAGCUAGUUGGUGUAGGUAAUGGCUCACCAAGGCAUCGAUCAGUAGCUGGUCUGAGAGGAUGAUCAGCCACACUGGGACUGAGACACGGCCCAGACUCCUACGGGAGGCAGCAGUGGGGAAUUUUCCGCAAUGGGCGAAGGCCUGACGGAGCAACGCCGCGUGAGGGAUGAAGGCCUCUGGGCUGUAAACCUCUUUUAUCAAGGAAGAAGAUCUGACGGUACUUGAUGAAUAAGCCACGGCUAAUUCCGUGCCAGCAGCCGCGGUAAUACGGGAGUGGCAAGCGUUAUCCGGAAUUAUUGGGCGUAAAGCGUCCGCAGGCGGCCCUUCAAGUCUGCUGUUAAAAAGUGGAGCUUAACUCCAUCAUGGCAGUGGAAACUGUUGGGCUUGAGUGUGGUAGGGGCAGAGGGAAUUCCCGGUGUAGCGGUGAAAUGCGUAGAUAUCGGGAAGAACACCAGUGGCGAAGGCGCUCUGCUGGGCCAUCACUGACGCUCAUGGACGAAAGCCAGGGGAGCGAAAGGGAUUAGAUACCCCUGUAGUCCUGGCCGUAAACGAUGAACACUAGGUGUCGGGGGAAUCGACCCCCUCGGUGUCGUAGCCAACGCGUUAAGUGUUCCGCCUGGGGAGUACGCACGCAAGUGUGAAACUCAAAGGAAUUGACGGGGGCCCGCACAAGCGGUGGAGUAUGUGGUUUAAUUCGAUGCAACGCGAAGAACCUUACCAGGGUUUGACAUCCUGCGAAUCUCUUGGAAACGAGAGAGUGCCUUCGGGAACGCAGUGACAGGUGGUGCAUGGCUGUCGUCAGCUCGUGUCGUGAGAUGUUGGGUUAAGUCCCGCAACGAGCGCAACCCACGUCUUUAGUUGCCAGCAUUUAGUUGGGCACUCUAGAGAGACCGCCGGUGAUAAACCGGAGGAAGGUGUGGAUGACGUCAAGUCAUCAUGCCCCUUACAUCCUGGGCUACACACGUACUACAAUGCUACGGACAAAGGGCAGCAAGUUCGCGAGGACAAGCAAAUCCCAUAAACCGUGGCUCAGUUCAGAUCGUAGGCUGCAACUCGCCUACGUGAAGGAGGUAUCGCUAGUAAUCGCAGGUCAGCAUACUGCGGUGAAUACGUUCCCGGGCCUUGUACACACCGCCCGUCACACCAUGGAAGUUGGCCACGCCCGAAGCCGUUACUCCAACCCUUGUGGAGGAGGACGUCGAAGGUGGGGCUGAUGACUGGGGUGAAGUCGUAACAAGGUAACC
rnacentral:rRNA from 1 species